rnacentral:rRNA from 1 species
UACGGAGGAUGCGAGCGUUAUCCGGAUUUAUUGGGUUUAAAGGGUGCGUAGGCGGCCUGCCAAGUCAGCGGUAAAAUUGCGGGGCUCAACCCCGUACAGCCGUUGAAACUGCCGGGCUCGAGUGGGCGAGAAGUAUGCGGAAUGCGUGGUGUAGCGGUGAAAUGCAUAGAUAUCACGCAGAACCCCGAUUGCGAAGGCAGCAUACCGGCGCCCUACUGACGCUGAGGCACGAAAGUGCGGGGAUC